rnacentral:lncRNA from 1 species
AGUCAUUGCGCGAAGAAGAACACGCGUUUCUACUUUUCUGGCAUUUUUGUGUUGCUGUUGCUGUGUUUGGGAAAGAAAAACGUUUUAGUCAUGUCAGGUCGCUAUACUCGUCCUCCAAACAGUUCUCUCUUCGUCAGAAACGUUCAUCCUGAUACUAGGUAAGUUUUGUACGUCGUUUAGCCAACAUUUUCAAUAUUUUUUUAUGGAAAGCAUUGGACGAUGAGAAAGCAUUCAAUGCACACGUUGCCACUUUUACACUACUUUAUAGGCAAGAAGAUAUGAGACGGAUUUUUGGGAAAUAUGGUCGAAUUCAAGAU